rnacentral:lncRNA from 1 species
AUCUAUUGGUGAUUGAGCAUUCAAAGAACAAAUGCUUAAACUCUUCAACAUGUUGAUUACAGAACACACAGUUUGCAGGAACUUGUAUUCCAAAUUUCUGCAAUCUGUCAAUAGUAGGAAGUCUUUGCUGAGCAGCUAGCAUACAGUGAACUUGUGUUGAGGUUGAACAUUAGUAGUCAUCAUCAUAUUCUUCCACUCUACCUUAUUGAAACUGGGAAUCAUUGUAAGGUAGAGUUUCUGGAUUUGGAAUUUAUCCUGCCUGCACACUCCUUUCAACCUACUAAAAAAAUCCCCCUGUAGCUUUUGGUUCUCCAUUAUAGCAGUUCUGCAUUCCAGUAUCUUCCUAACAACCCAAGAAGUUGUCUUAGGAAUGGUCAUUGUUACAAUAUCACACUGCUUGAUGUAAUAACAGUGUAGCCAUUUGAUCCAAAGACAAUCUUUUUUCC